AUUGAACGCUGGCGGCAGGCCUAACACAUGCAAGUCGAGCGGAUGAAGGGAGCUUGCUCCUGGAUUCAGCGGCGGACGGGUGAGUAAUGCCUAGGAAUCUGCCUGGUAGUGGGGGAUAACGUCCGGAAACGGGCGCUAAUACCGCAUACGUCCUGAGGGAGAAAGUGGGGGAUCUUCGGACCUCACGCUAUCAGAUGAGCCUAGGUCGGUUUAGCUAGUUGGUGGGGUAAAGGCCUACCAAGGCGACGAUCCGUAACUGGUCUGAGAGGAUGAUCAGUCACACUGGCACUGAGACACGGUGCAGACUCCUACGGGAGGCAGCAGUGGGGAAUAUUGGACGAUGGGCGCAAGCCUGAUCCAGCCAUGCCGCGUGUGUGAAGAAGGUCUUCUGAUUGUAAAGCACUUUAAGUUGGGAGGAAGGGCAGUAAGUUAAUACCUUGCUGUUUUGACGUUACCAACAGAAUAAGCACCGGCUAACUUCGUG
rnacentral:rRNA from 1 species